rnacentral:ncRNA from 1 species
CCGAUUGAUUUCGCCGAUGGUUCCCGGGCGUACAGCGCAAACCGGGAUGAAAAGGGAACGUGGUGCGGUGUAGCCUACUAGGCGCCAAUUCCACGACUGCCCCCGCAACUGUAAGCGGUGUGCCCCCCGAAUGACCACUGGGUGAAAACCUGGGAAGGUCGGGUGGGACCACAAGCCGCGAGUCAGGAGACCUGCCAUCGAAACGCAACUUCA